AAAUUUUUUUAUACGCCCUUAUGGUUCUGCAGAACCAUAAGGGCGUAUAUUUUGGGAUACACCCUUAUGGUUUUAGUAACGCGAUUUAUAUAAUUUAGUUUUAAUAUAAUUCAAAAUUCAUUCACCAAA